rnacentral:rRNA from 1 species
AUAUACGACCGUACCGCAAACCGACACUGGUGCGCGAGAUGAGUAUUCUAAGGCGCUUGAGAGAACUCAGGAGAAGGAACUCGGCAAAUUGACACCGUAACUUCGGAAGAAGGUGUGCCUUAUUAGUGUGAAGUGAACAACGGAGCAUGAAUGGGUUGCAAAAAAUCGGUGGCUGCGACUGUUUAUUAAAAACACAGCACUCUGCAAACACGAAAGUGGACGUAUAGGGUGUGACGCCUGCCCGGUGCUGGAAGAUUAAAUGAUGGGGUGCAAGCUCUUGAUUGAAGUCCCAGUAAACGGCGGCCGUAACUAUAACGGUCCUAAGGUAGCGAAAUUCCUUGUCGGGUAAGUUCCGACCUGCACGAAUGGCGUAACGAUGGCCACACUGUCUCCUCCUGAGACUCAGCGAAGUUGAAAUGUUUGUGAUGAUGCAAUCUCCCCGCGGAAAGACGGAAAGACCCCAUGAACCUUUACUGUAGCUUUGUAUUGGACUUUGAACAGAUCUGUGUAGGAUAGGUGGGAGGCUUUGAAGCAGGGUCGCUAGAUCUUGUGGAGCCAACGUUGAAAUACCACCCUGGUGUGUUUGAGGUUCUAACCUAGGUCCAUUAUCUGGAUCGGGGACAGUGCAUGGUAGGCAGUUUGACUGGGGCGGUCUCCUCCCAAAGCGUAACGGAGGAGUUCGAAGGUACGCUAGUUACGGUCGGACAUCGUGACGGUAGUGCAAUGGCAUAAGCGUGCUUAACUGUGAGACUGACAAGUCGAGCAGAUGCGAAAGCAGGACAUAGUGAUCCGGUGGUUCUGUAUGGAAGGGCCAUCGCUCAACGGAUAAAAGGUACUCUGGGGAUAACAGGCUGAUACCGCCUAAGAGUUCAUAUCGACGGCGGUGUUUGGCACCUCGAUGUCGGCUCAUCUCAUCCUGGGGCUGUAGCCGGUCCCAAGGGUAUGGCUGUUCGCCAUUUAAAGAGGUACGUGAGCUGGGUUUAAAACGUCGUGAGACAGUUUGGUCCCUAUCUUCCGUGGGCGCUGCAGAUUUGAGGAAGCCUGCUCCUAGUACGAGAGGACCGGAGUGGACACACCUCUGGUGUAUCGGUUGUCACGCCAGUGGCAUUGCCGAGUAGCUAAGUGUGGAAGAGAUAACCGCUGAAAGCAUCUAAGCGGGAAACUCGUUUCAAGAUGAGAUCUGCCGGGGCCUUGAGCCCCCUGAAGAGUCGUUCAAGACCAGGACGUUGAUAGGUCAGGUGUGGAAGCCA